rnacentral:rRNA from 1 species
UACAUGGGGUGCAAACGUUGCUCGGAAUCAUUGGGCGUAAAGCGCGCGUAGGCGGUUACUUAAGUUGGAUGUGAAAGCCCUCGGCUUAACUGAGGAAGUGCAUCCAAAACUGAGUAGCUAGAGUACGAAAGAGGGUCGCGGAAUUCCCGGUGUAGAGGUGAAAUCGUAGAUAUCGGGAGGAACACCGGUGGCGAAGGCGGCGACCUGGGUCGAGACUGACGCUGAGGCGCGAAAGCGUGGGGAGCAAACAGG